UAGCUAGUUGGUAAGGUAACGGCUUACCAAGGCAACGAUGCAUAGCCGACCUGAGAGGGUGAUCGGCCACACUGGAACUGAGACACGGUCCAGACUCCUACGGGAGGCAGCAGUAGGGAAUCUUCCGCAAUGGGCGAAAGCCUGACGGAGCAACGCCGCGUGAGUGAUGAAGGUCUUCGGAUCGUAAAACUCUGUUAUUAGGGAAGAACAUAUGUGUAAGUAACUGUGCACAUCUUGACGGUACCUAAUCAGAAAGCCACGGCUAACUACGUGCCAGCAGCCGCGGUAAUACGUAGGUGGCAAGCGUUAUCCGGAAUUAUUGGGCGUAAAGCGCGCGUAGGCGGUUUUUUAAGUCUGAUGUGAAAGCCCACGGCUCAACCGUGGAGGGUCAUUGGAAACUGGAAAACUUGAGUGCAGAAGAGGAAAGUGGAAUUCCAUGUGUAGCGGUGAAAUGCGCAGAGAUAUGGAGGAACACCAGUGGCGAAGGCGACUUUCUGGUCUGUAACUGACGCUGAUGUGCGAAAGCGUGGGGAUCAAACAGGAUUAGAUACCCUGGUAGUCCACGCCGUAAACGA
rnacentral:rRNA from 1 species